CUGUUCAUAUAUGUAUGGUUUGCGUAUAUGUGUGUGAGAGUGUAGACGGUGCAAAGAUUGUUCGAAACAAAAAAAACAUCCUUGCUCGCGCAGUGCGUAUUUAUUAUCAAGUAAAAUAAUUGGAACAGUACAUUAAAUGACAAAAGUAAACAAUUUACAUCGCUUGAUGAUUCCGGAGAUGAUUUGAUCUUUCUUAAUUUCAUGAUUGCUUUUUGCGUCUACAUGCGCACGCAUGCUCGAGUACCAUGAUGCCAACGAUACGCACACACAGACACACACAAAGAUGGCGUGUGCGUGUACAGCGUACAAUGUUUCACUAACACAAAGAUACACUCAAUGGAUUUACAUUGUUCCAGUCAUAGCCACGGAAAACGUGCGACAAUGGUAUUAGAACAUAAUUACAUUAUAAGCGAUAUUACAUCCCGAAUUACUGUUACAAAUUCUUACAUUCUCAAGCAAACACAUAUUAAUUAGAAACCUGUAGAAAAUGGUAUAGAUAAAUUUCGAGUGACAGGAAAUGCAAUGAAGUUAGAUGUGUGUGUGUGUGUGUGUGAAAGAGAGAAGAUUUGUGAGUGUGUAGUAGUGAAAUAAAUAAAUAGCACACACAGAAGCAAAGUGGGAGAUGCGAACCAAGAAAGCUCGAGAACCGAAAGUCUAAGUCAGUACUGUUUGUUCCAAACCACGAUUGGAUGCAUCUAGCAGCUCCCGUGGUAAAAUUUAUUUUUUAUUUUGCUGAAACAUACAGAAAAUUAUACAGUGCAUAGAGCUAGCUCCAGAAGCAAGUAAAUCUUUGCGAACUUUUACCAACAGUUCGUAAAGGCCAUACACAUUGCCGUUCGCAUCGCUUGCAGGCAUAGUGUUUUCCAGCUUAUGGUAAAAGCAUUCUCGGUGUAACGCGUGUGCUUGGAAAACUAAGCCCCGGUCGAGGUUGUGUGAUCUUGCGAUCGAACACGAAUUGGCUGGUGGAAAAGAAGUAAUAGAAAUUAGGAGAGAAAAAGAACGUGCAGGCUACGUGGCGUAGUGGUGUGUUCAUUUCUAAGGUUACGUGUGUUAGUACAUUUCUUUCUUGUAUAUCAGCAUCAUCCAACGUUAGUGUGUACCUCACAUACUAAUACAACGGUGAACGCAACAAAGAAGUAGAAAAUAAAACAACUUAGUGCUUGUCGUACCGGAAGCAACUGAACGAA